rnacentral:rRNA from 1 species
UACGUAGGGUGCAGGCGUUAAUCGGAAUUACUGGGCGUAAAGCGUGCGCAGGCGGUUUGCUAAGACAGGUGUGAAAUCCCCGGGCUUAACCUGGGAACUGCGCUUGUAACUGGCAAGCUUGAGUGUGGCAGAGGGGGGUGGAAUUCCACGUGUAGCAGUGAAAUGCGUAGAUAUGCGGAGGAACACCGAUGGCGAAGGCAAUCCCCUGGGCCUGCACUGACGCUCAUGCACGAAAGCGUGGGGAGCAAACAGG